CAAACAGUCCUUUUCAGGACUACCCUCCUUCAACAAAGAUUACUG
rfam:Strongylocentrotus purpuratus Contig41228_fixed, whole genome shotgun sequence.